UACGGGGGGAGCAAGCGUUGUUCGGAUUUACUGGGCGUAAAGGGCGCGUAGGCGGCGCAACAAGUCACUUGUGAAAUCUCCGGGCUUAACCCGGAGCGGCCAAGUGAUACUGUCGUGCUAGAGUGCGGAAGGGGCUACUGGAAUUCUCGGUGUAGCGGUGAAAUGCGUAGAUAUCGAGAGGAACACCUGCGGCGAAGGCGGGUAGCUGGGCCGACACGUGACGCUGAGGCGCGAAGGCGUGGGGAGCGAACGGG
rnacentral:rRNA from 1 species